UAUAUAAUAAAUAUUUUGCCUAAGACAGCAUGGUCCCGUAAGGGUUAAAGGUAAUACGCCUGCCGAGGAUGUAUACACAUUUUAGAUGUGUUGAUUAUGUUUAAUCAGUCCUUCUGUCUUGCAAAAGAUGGAAGGACUUUUAGAUUUUACU
rfam:Eubacterium sp. CAG:86 genomic scaffold, scf87